UACAGAGGUCUCAAGCGUUGUUCGGAUUCAUUGGGCGUAAAGGGUGCGUAGGCGGCGCGGUAAGUCGGGUGUGAAAUCUCGGAGCUUAACUCCGAAACUGCAUUCGAUACUGCGGUGCUUGAGGACUGGAGAGGAGACUGGAAUUCAUGGUGUAGCAGUGAAAUGCGUAGAGAUCAUGAGGAAGACCAGUGGCGAAGGCGGGUCUCUGGGCAGUAACUGACGCUGAGGAGCGAAAGCGUGGGGAGCGAACAGG
rnacentral:rRNA from 1 species